UAGAUGCGAGAGUAGAGCAUAUCAAUAAGCGGAGGAAAAGAGGGUUAUUACCUACGCUUAGGAUGUUGACGAGACUGUCGAUCUCAUCUAUACAUGACUCUGUGCAUAUCAAUAAGCGGAGGAAAAGCAUACAUGUAUACCUACGCUUAGGAUGUUGACGAGACUGUCGAUCUCACUGUGACUAGCAUAUCAAUAAGCGGAGGAAAAGAAACUAACAAGGAUUCCCCUAGUAACGGCGAGUGAAGCGGGAAGAGCUCAAAUUUGAAAUCUUAAAGGGUUUCCCUUUACGAAUCGUAGUUUAAAGAAGUGUUUUCUGUUGAGGUUUUGGUAAAAGUUCUUUGGAAUAGGACAUCAUAGAGGGUGAGAAUCCCGUAUUUGACCUUUACUUUCAACUUUGUGAUACACUUUCAAAGAGUCGGAUUGUUUGGGAAUGCAGUCCAAAAUGGGUGGUAAAUUUCAUCUAAAGCUAAAUAUUGGCGAGAGACCGAUAGCGAACAAGUACCGUGAGGGAAAGAUGAAAAGAACUUUGAAAAGAGAGUUAAACAGUAGCGUGAAAUUGUCAAAAGGGAAGCGUUUGACACCAGUGUUGUUUUUCUGAAAAUCAAUUAAAGAACUGUUUAUGCUAAGCUGUUUAGACUUUAUCAGCUAUACUGUUUAGUUUUGAGCUUUUCUUUAAUGCACUUUUCAGUUAACAAGUCAACAUCAAUUUCUUUUGCUGUAAAAAAGCUUGAGGAAGGUGGCUUGAGAUUCGUCUUAAGUGUUUAUAGCCUCUUGCCUAUGCAGUCGGAGAGAUUGAGGUCUGCAGCGUAGAUCCUUCGGGGCUAAAUGCAUUUGUGCUAAGUUAUAGCAUUUUAUAGACAACUUGUUGACUAUGAUUUGUCUUGUAGCUUACUCGCUUAUGUUAUUUUACCUACGCUUAGGAUGUUGACGAGACUGUCGAUCUC
rnacentral:rRNA from 1 species